rnacentral:rRNA from 1 species
UACGUAGGGGGCGAGCGUUGUCCGGAUUUAUUGGGCGUAAAGAGCUCGUAGGCGGUUCGGCAAGUCAGAUGUAAAAACUCCAGGCUCAACUUGGAGAGGCCAUCUGAUACUGCCGUGACUAGAGUCCGAUAGAGGAGCACGGAAUUCCUGGUGUAGCGGUGAAAUGCGCAGAUAUCAGGAGGAACACCAGCGGCGAAGGCGGUGCUCUGGGCCGGAACUGACGGCGUGAGGAGCGAAAGCGUGGGGAGCGAACAGG